UACGGAGGGGGCUAGCGUUGUUCGGAAUUACUGGGCGUAAAGCGCGCGUAGGCGGCUUUGCAAGUCAGAGGUGAAAGCCUGGAGCUCAACUCCAGAACUGCCUUUGAAACUGCAUCGCUAGAAUCAUGGAGAGGUUAGUGGAAUUCCGAGUGUAGAGGUGAAAUUCGUAGAUAUUCGGAAGAACACCAGUGGCGAAAGCGACUAACUGGACAUGUAUUGACGCUGAGGUGCGAAAGCGUGGGGAGCAAACAGG
rnacentral:rRNA from 1 species